rnacentral:rRNA from 1 species
GGAGGAUUCAAGCGUUAUCCGGAUUUAUUGGGUUUAAAGGGUGCGUAGGCGGUUCGAUAAGUUAGAGGUGAAAUCCCGGGGCUCAACUCCGGCAUUGCCUCUGAUACUGUUGGACUAGAGAAUAGUUGCGGUAGGCGGAAUGUAUGGUGUAGCGGUGAAAUGCUUAGAGAUCAUACAGAACACCGAUUGCGAAGGCAGCUUACCAAACUAUAUCUGACGUUGAGGCACGAAAGCGUGGGUAGCAAA